UACAGAGGGCGCGAACGUUGCUCGGAAUUACUGGGCGUAAAGCGCGUGUAGGCGGAUCCAUAAGUCGGGCGUGAAAUCCCCAGGCUCAACCUGGGAACUGCGCUCGAAACUGUGGGUCUAGAGUGUCGGAGAGGAUGGCGGAAUUCCUGGUGUAGAGGUGAAAUUCGUAGAUAUCAGGAGGAACACCGGUGGCGAAGGCGGCCAUCUGGACGACAACUGACGCUGAGACGCGAAAGCGUGGGGAGCAAACAGG
rnacentral:rRNA from 1 species